rfam:Ceriporiopsis subvermispora B unplaced genomic scaffold CERSTscaffold_12, whole genome shotgun sequence.
GGUUCAAUGGUGUAGUUGGUUAUCACGUCUGUCUCACACUGCAACACUAGUUGAAGUCGUCGGUCACAGGAGGUCUCCGGUUCGAACCCGGGUUGAACCA